rnacentral:rRNA from 1 species
AGAGUUUGAUCAUGGCUCAGGAUGAACGCUGGCGGCGUGCCUAACACAUGCAAGUCGAACGGUCGCAAGACAGUGGCGCACGGGUGAGGAACACGUGGCUGACCUGCCCUGGAGUACGGGAUAACGCCUCGAAAGGGGUGCUAAUACCGUAUACCGUCCGCGCGUUUAGAAGGCGCGGAGCAAAGGUUUACCGCUCUGGGAGGGGGCUGCGGUCCAUCAGGUAGUUGGUGUGGUAACGGCACACCAAGGCUACGAUCAGUAAGGGGCGUGAGAGCGUGGCCCCUCACACGGGUACUGAGACACGGCCCAGACUCCUACGGGAGGCAGCAGUGGGGAAUUUUCCGCAAUGGGCGCAAGCCUGACGGAGCAAGACCGCGUGCGGGAUGAAGGUCUAUUGAUUGUAAACCGCUUUUGUGAGGGAAGAAGCUCUGACGGUACCUCACGAAUCAGCAUCGGCUAACUCCGUGCCAGCAGCCGCGGUAAUUC